GCAUCCCAGCCCUGCUGGUGAGGCCUGUGAUUCCCUAACAACUCACAUUUCGUGGGCACUCGCUCGCUGUGCCAAGAGCUCACCUGCUGCGUCUCACUGAGUCCUCACCCCGAUGGACCUUAGAGGCAGGUGCUCUUACCAUCCACGUUCACAGGCCCCCGCUGUAUGCAUGGACACGCCAAGGCACGAAGGACAGAGCCCUUUCCCAAGACCACAAGGAGGCGAGGCGAAGCCGCUGCUCUUCCCCGCCAUGUGGCCACCUCCUGGGCCAGCAGAAGGGAGUCUGAGAGAAGGGAAGGGUUUGUCCUCUUCGAGCCCCAGAGGAAUGUCUCAAUACUUCUCUGAGGGAAAGGACGUGGCAGUAAUCCCACGAGCUCCCCAGAGCUCCCUCCUGGCUUCUGGCCUUACUGGGCCCAAGUUCUCUCCUCUUCCUGCUGGCCCCUCCCUGCCAGGCGGGUGAAAGUGGGGAGAAGUUGCUCCUCUUCCCCCAGCCCUUCCUCAUAAGCUCUUCCUAGCCCACACGGGAGGAACCACAUGCAUUUGGCUAUUUUCCUCUUGGGUUCUUCUCCAAAUAAAGCCAAGGUCACUCUGGUCUCCAAGUAUAACCAACAGAAGUACAGCCACUGGCUUGCCGAGAGGACUGGCCUUGCGUAAGGAUGACACUUUCCCUACUGAUUGCUUGUGAUGUGUGGGCCCGGGCUGGACACUAUACACACCUCACCUCAUCAGAUCCUCACAGCACUCUGUGAGGUGCAGGCUUAUUCCCAUCUUGCAGAGAACUGAGGCCCAGAAUUGUGGGAAGCCGCCUUUUGUCUUCACUAGCAGAGAGGUGUGGACAAGGAGCCCGAAAUGCUGGUGUCCCUUGAGUCCUGGCAAAGGGCAGAGCUAUGCACCGACCAUGGUAGCUGAAGCAACUUCCCCACCAGUCAUGUAAAUCCUUAUUGAUAAGAUAGUCUGCCUGUUACUGGAACUUGCUUAAGGGCUAUAGGUGUAUCCCAAACUGAAUUAAAGGAUGGCAAGGCCUGAGCACAAGCGGAGUCCUUCCUCUUGCAUUGGGCUCCCGCCUGGCCCCCCAAUUUCCAAAUUA